CACAGGGCCCCCCUCCAUUCCCUACCUAUUAGUGAAGAUCCGUUCGGCAGAGUAGCUGUUGACAUUAUAGUUGAGCAGGCACUUUGUUUACUUUAGAGAACCUUGGGCCAAUCGAACGUCCGCGUGACUGCGACUUUGCAUUCGGAUGUCAUCCAUAUCAACUUUCGAUGCCAGUUUCUGCGCCUACCAUGGUGACCACGGGGAAUCAGGGUUGGAUUAUGGAGAUGGAAUCUUAGAAACGGCUACCACAUGCAAGGAAGGCAGCAGGCGCGCAAAUUACCCACUCCCGACGCGGGAAGGUAGUGACG